GGAACUCUCCCCCUGAGCAGAGAAGCAUGUAGCGCCUCAGCUGCCUGUAUAUCCUCAACCCUGUACAACCAAGCCUCCUUAGUUGGAAUCUCGGUCUUUUUCCCAAAAAACUGAAUCAGGGCUUUAGCCGCAUUAAGCAAGUGGCGUAAGAUGGAUUUCUUAGAGACCGAAAUAGGUUUUGAAAACGUGUGCCAGAGUGAGCUCCCCCGACCACUCAACUGAAUUCCUGAGAAAAUAUCGGUCACCUCAUCCCUCACCAUGUCCUAAAAGAGGUAAUUUCUGAACAGUCCCACCAUAUAUGCCAC